AGCAGCCGCGGUAAUUCCAGCUCCAAUAGCGUAUAUUAAAGUUGUUGCAGUUAAAAAGCUCGUAGUUGAAUUUCGGGAUCAAUUAGUCGGUCGUGCCUCUGGUACGUACUGGUUUUAUUGGUUCCUCCCUUCUGACGAAACAUGAUGUCAUUAAUUUGGUGUCGUGGAGAAUCAGGACUGUUACCUUGAAAAAAUUAGAGUGUUUAUAGCAGGCUAACGCUUGAAUACAUUAGCAUGGAAUAAUGAAAUAGGACGUUCGACCCUAUUUUGUUGGUUUCUAGGAUCGACGUAAUGAUUAAUAGGGAUAGUUGGGGGCAUUAGUAUUCAAUUGUCAGAGGUGAAAUUCUUGGAUUUAUUGAAGACUAACUACUGCGAAAGCAUUUGCCAAGGAUGUUUUCAUUAAUCAAGAACGAAAGUUAGGGGAUCGAAGACGAUCAGAUACCGUCGUAGUCUUAACCAUAAACUAUGCCGACUAGGGAUCGGAUGAUGCUAAUUUUUAAUGACUCAUUCGGCGCCUUAA
rnacentral:rRNA from 1 species